rnacentral:rRNA from 1 species
AGCGAACGCUGGCGGCAGGCUUAACACAUGCAAGUCGAGCGGGCACCUUCGGGUGUCAGCGGCAGACGGGUGAGUAACACGUGGGAACGUACCCUUUGGUUCGGAACAACUCUGGGAAACUGGAGCUAAUACCGGAUACGCCCUUUUGGGGAAAGGUUUACCGCCGAAGGAUCGGCCCGCGUCUGAUUAGCUAGUUGGUGAGGUAACGGCUCACCAAGGCGACGAUCAGUAGCUGGUCUGAGAGGAUGAUCAGCCACACUGGGACUGAGACACGGCCCAGACUCCUACGGGAGGCAGCAGUGGGGAAUAUUGGACAAUGGGCGCAAGCCUGAUCCAGCCAUGCCGCGUGAGUGAUGAAGGCCUUAGGGUUGUAAAGCUCUUUUGUCCGGGACGAUAAUGACGGUACCGGAAGAAUAAGCCCCGACUAACUUCGUGCCAGCCGCCGCUGU